rnacentral:rRNA from 1 species
AUUGAACGCUGGCGGCAGGCUUAACACAUGCAAGUCGAGCGGGGUGAUGGUGCUUGCACUAUCACUUAGCGGCGGACGGGUGAGUAAUGCUUAGGAAUCUGCCUAUUAGUGGGGGACAACAUCUCGAAAGGGAUGCUAAUACCGCAUACGUCCUACGGGAGAAAGCAGGGGGAUCACUUGUGACCUUGCGCUAAUAGAUGAGCCUAAGUCGGAUUAGCUAGUUGGUGGGGUAAAGGCCUACCAAGGCGACGAUCUGUAGCGGGUCUGAGAGGAUGAUCCGCCACACUGGGACUGGGACACGGCCCAGACUCCUACGGGAGGCAGCAGUGGGGAAUAUUGGACAAUGGGGGGAACCCUGAUCCAGCCAUGCCGCGUGUGUGAAGAAGGCCUUAUGGUUGUAAAGCACUUUAGGCGAGGAGGAGGCUCUUUUGGUUAAUACCCAAGAUGAGUGGACGUUACUCGCAGAAUAAGCACCGGCUAACUCUGUGCCAGCCGCCGCCGUAA